UCCCGGGUAGCUCAGUCGGUAGAGCGUUUGGCUUUUAACCAAAAUGUCGUCGGUUCGAGCCCGGCCUCGGGAG